UCGAUAACUUAAGGUGGAAAU
ensembl:piRNA 21ur-4431 ncRNA